UGGUUUCCUGCAGAUGGGUGUGUUGCAUUCCUGAAGCACACCUUAACCUUGUACUGAAUUCCUUUCGUGUUCUCUGAACACUCCUGCAUCUCCUGCCUCUUUGCCUGAGAGUGGCAGCAUGUUCUGAGUGUUCUUCACCCAAGUGGAGCUAUUUGAAAAGGAAAGAAUAAGCAAAGAAGAACAAAUGUGGGCAAGUAUUCUACAGUUACCAGCCAGGAGACAGGAUCAGGCUUGCAUCUUUGCUGUCAAAAAAUGGAAAUGACUGGACAGGAAUUGUGUCAGCAGAUAAUAUAGCCAGAGAAUACCAGUUCAAAUAUAUAGAAGAUGGUGGCAGAUAAAAGGACACAGACUGCACCAAAUAAAACACACCUUGAACCUGUGAAGAGGUAGAAGGACUUGAAGAUCUACUGCUCGAUUCUACAGCAUAUAUGUUUAAAGCAAGUGAGCUGGCACAGAGUUAUCUUCAAUUUUAAUACAUGCAUAAAUCAACUUUAGAAAGAGAGAAAACAGAAAUCACAAGUCUGAAUGGUUAACAUUUACUUAAGUUAUAUGCAGCUGAAGAAAGAGUGUCACAGUAGAGAGAAUUAAAUAACCUUUAUGCAAGACAGCACUUUUGCUCUACCUCUAUUAACCUACUAACUAAUCUUGUAUUUAUGAGUCAUCCAGAAGAAUGAUUAAUGAGCAAAUGGCUGCAAAAUAUCCACAGAAUAAAGAUCAUAUUUCUCUGCAGUUUGCCUUCUUUUUGAAGCAGUGCUUAUCCAAGACCUGCAAA